GAGAAAUCAGGAAGAAGCCAGUUUAUAUAAGCGUCACAGUCUCUGCUGUGGUGGCCAGAAUAAUUACCCCCCUGCCCUAUGCCAUCCAUGUCCUAAUUCCUGGAACUUGUGAAUAUGUCACCUUUAUGUGGCAAAAAGGGACUUUGCAGAAGUGAUGAAGUUGCAGAUCUUGAGAUGGGGAGAGUAGCCUGCAUUAUCCAGGAACAGUCUCCUCAGGAGGAAUUGAGCACCGACGAUCCACAGUGAGAAGGGACAGCAUUUAAUGGAACUAUGGUCUCUGCACAAAACCAACUGUGAGGCUGUUGAUGCCCAGGUUCCACUCAGUGCUCAAGAACAGGGGAGCUCUGCGGCCCAGGGUGUGGAUACUGUGCCGUGGCUGGUUUCUCCAUGUCUGUGAAGGCGGCCGCACCCUCCUUCCCUAAACCACAGGCUGGGGCCUCUUGAGAUCAGAAACCAGUUCCCACACACUUGCCUCUUGUUAGAACAUCCUCCUCACUGGCUGAAGAGAAACUAAGAGAACUCCUGGAAGAGCUGGCUCAGAGAUUUAAAUAGGCCAGGCCAGACCAGACGCACGGCCAGAAUCGCCUUAGAGAAGACAAGACGGUGUGGACUAGGGGCCAGUGAGCAGACUCGAAAGAUGCCACUGUAGCAAUAAGGAACCUCCAUGGGAUGGGAACUUUUACCUUAAAAUAAAUAUGACUGGGGCUGGGAACAAGCUAACCUUCAUCUUCUGCAGCACAAUCUUUUCCUGUGUAGAUCUUAUUUGAGAAUGUGGUUUUCUUAAAAAUUCUACG
rnacentral:lncRNA from 1 species